rnacentral:lncRNA from 1 species
UAUUCAAAAUGGCGGAUGGUAGGAGUGACGAGAUAAAUAGUUCAUGUAAUAAAAGAAGGUUGGAGGCCAAUUUGGUUUUAGAAAAUGAGAACGAAGAAUGUAAGAAAAUGAAAUAUGAAGCAAUGAAUGACUUCCAGUUGGUAAAAAUUCUUGCGGAAGAUGCUAGGAACAAAACUUUAAUUCUGCACUUGCAAAGUAUGUAAUACAUUUUUCUACCAUACAUGGAUGCAACCCAGGAGUUUUUUCAGGGAUUUUUUAGGGCCGUUAAACGGCCCCAAAAACUCAAUCUUGAAUUGAGUUUUGAAACUCAAUCUUCUCACCAAAGUUUCAGUGCAGUAAAAAUGAAGUUGUUUGAGUUAAAUUCGUGACGUGUGGAAAUUAGUUUUCAGUUGGAAACCCGACAAUUAAGAAAAAAUGGCUGGAAUUCAUCUCACAACACAAGAAAAACUAUGCAUUCGCCAUCUUUAACCAGUUUAUAGUGUCUUAUAGUGUCCCACAGUG